GAAUUACACUUGACAGAGGCAGAGGAAAAUGCCUGCAGUCUGCAGCAUAGGAGGAAAAAAAGCGUUUCUUGUCUUCUAUUGUGCAGUGCCCAUGAAGUAUAGCAUCAAGAAACUAAUGCAAAACUGCAGAGAUCUUUCCGUGAGAUAAUUGAAUAUAAAAUCAUGAUUGCUUUUCACAAAUUUGGAUUCAUCCCAAAUCCAUUGUUCUUCAAAGGCAGGAAAAGUGAUCAGAGAAAAGGUGGACGGUAACAACACUUCGCCUUGAGCUGUUAGAAUACCAGCAUUUAGCAUAACUGAUAUUUGUUGCAAUUAAGCCAUGCUACGUUGAGUGCAAAUGGGCAACUACAAUGAGGACCACUGGACUUCUGAAGUUCAAGUUCUAUUCUGUCUGAAGACAAUUUCCCUGCCAGAGGUCAAACUUUAGCACACACAUGCCAACACAGAAGUCAUAGUCCUGCAUUAUACAGUUAAGCUAAUGAUCUCCAGAGGAUAUCGUCCUGGAUAAGGGUGGAGCCUACGCCCAAAAAUGAGAUUGCCUGAAAGAGAAAAGAAAGGGGGAA
rnacentral:lncRNA from 1 species